AGAAAACUUUGCAAUGUGCGAAAGCACGACAAGGUUAAUCCGAGUGGUUUCUGCUAAAGAAACCUUUUGUCAGUCCUAGAAACACUAACGAAUAAGGGGUGGGCAAGUUCUGGUGUCAGCCGCCGCGGUAAAACCAGCACCUCAAGUGGUCAGGAUGAUUAUUGGGCCUAAAGCAUCCGUAGCUCGUUUUGUAAGUUUUCGGUUAAAUCCAUGCGCUUAACGUAUGGGCUGCCGGGAAUACUGCAUAACUAGGAAGUGGGAGAGGUAGACGGUACUCGGUAGGAAGGGGUAAAAUCCUUUGAUCUAUUGAUGACCACCUGUGGCGAAGGCGGUCUACCAGAACACGUUCGACGGUGAGGGAUGAAAGCUGGGGGAGCAAACCGGAUUAGAUACCCGGGUAGUCCCAGCUGUAAACUAUGCAAACUCAGUGAUGCAUUGGCUUGUGGCCAAUGCAGUGCUGCAGGGAAGCCGUUAAGUUUGCCGCCUGGGAAGUACGUACGCAAGUAUGAAACUUAAAGGAAUUGGCGGGGGAGCACCACAAGGGGUGAAGCCUGCGGUUCAAUUGGAGUCAACACCAGAAAUCUUACCCGGAGAGACAGCAGAAUGAAGGUCAAGCUGAAGACUUUACCAGACAAGCUGAGAGGUGGUGCACGGCCGUCGCCAGCUCGUGCCGUGAGAUGUCCUGUUAAGUCAGGUAACGAGCGAGAUCCCUGCCUCUAGUUGCCACCAUUACUCUCAGGAGUAGUGGGGCGAAUUAGCGGGACCGCCGCAGUUAAUGCGGAGGAAGGAGGGGGCCACGGCAGGUCAGUAUGCCCCGAAACUCUGGGGCCACACGCGGGCUGCAAUGGUAGUGACAAUUUGGUUCCGAAUCCGAAAGGAGGAGGUAAUCCUCAAACGCUACCACAGUUAUGACUGAGGGCUGCAACUCGCCCUCACGAAUAUGGAAUCCCUAGUAACUGCGUGUCAUUAUCGCGCGGUGAAUACGUCCCUGCUCC
rnacentral:rRNA from 1 species